AGUGAACGCUGGCGGUAGGCCUAACACAUGCAAGUCGAGCGGCAGCACGGUGAGAGCGCGCUCUUACGGGUGGCGAGUGGCGGGCGGGUGAGGAAUAGAUAGGCUUCUUCUAAGACGUGGGUGACAACGGAAGGACAGUGACGCUAAUACCGCAUACGUCCAACGGGAUGAAUCAGUAGAGCAUCGGGGCUUUCGCGAUACAAUGAGACGAUGUCGGAUUAGCUAGUUGGGGAGGUAAAGGCACACCAAGGCGACGAUACGUAGCGGAUCUGAGAGGAUGAUCAGCCACACUGGAACUGAGACACGGUCCAGACUCCUACGGGAGGCAGCAGUGGGGAAUAUUGGACAAUGGGCGCAAGCCUGAUCCAGCCAUGCCGCGUGGGUGAAGAAGGCCUUCGGAUUGUAAAGCCCUUUUGUUGGGGAAGAAAAGCAGCAGGUUAAUCCCCCGCUGUUUUGACGGUACCCAAAGAAUAAGCCCCGGCUAACUUCGUG
rnacentral:rRNA from 1 species